UACAGAGGGGGCAAGCGUUGUUCGGAAUUACUGGGCGUAAAGGGCGCGUAGGCGGCCUUCUAAGUCGAACGUGAAAUCCCCGGGCUCAACCCGGGAACUGCGUCCGAUACUGGAAGGCUUGAAUCCGGGAGAGGGAUGUGGAAUUCCAGGUGUAGCGGUGAAAUGCGUAGAUAUCUGGAGGAACACCGGUGGCGAAGGCGGCAUCCUGGACCGGUAUUGGACGCUGAGGCGCGAAAGCCAGGGGAGCAAAGCGGG
rnacentral:rRNA from 1 species